GACAGGCAUUUUUGCUGCACUUUUCUGAAGCAGUUUUUAUGGAUAUCAUCUUUUUUGGACCUGUAACCUUGCCAGGGAGAGGGUUAGAGCUCAAAACCCACCUCCAAAGCACUUGGAGCUCUUCCACUGAUGCAGCUGGGACUGUAAGCAAAAUAAAGCCCGUGCAAUAAUGGCCAGUGGACAGGCAGAGACCAUGGAGAGGAUAUUGAUUGGAGCAGGGUCUCUCUUCUGCACAGCACAGCGAGCUCCGAAGGGCCGAGCUCCAGGCCCCAGGAACCUCCUUCACCUGCCAGCCUUGCCAAGCCUGGCUUAACUAACCCUGGUCCUGCAGGAAGAGCAGCAGAGUGAAGCAGCAGAGCCACAGGCACCCCAGAGCAGUCAGACACAGACCCCAGGCCGUACUCUGGCUGAACUCCCACUGCAGGCUGAAGAACCUCAGUGAUGCAGAGCCCAGCCCUGCCAGCUCCUCGUGCUCCUGCUCUUCAAAGAGAGCUCCGUGCAUGGAGAGCAGGUAGGAAAUAGCCCAGAGCAAGGACGGGGCUACAAAGACAGGAUCUAUUAUUUAUGAGGCACUUCAGUGAACCCGGGGCUCAGAGGCAGAGGGGGCUGGGGGAGCUUUGUGAGGGGAAAAAUGGAGUUUGAAGAAACCCUGAGAGCGAUGCAGCACGCAGGGGUCACGUUCAUGAGACAUCAAUGUGAGUGCAGAGGGCUCUCUUGGAGCUCACAGGGGAUUUGCUCUGGUUUAGGGGGCAGUUUAACCACCUGUGCUCCAAAUGCCAGGAUUUUAAAGAGUGAGGGGUCUCUGAGCCAGCACAGACUCCCACAGGGAAAUGGGAGCUGGGGAUGCCAAGCACCCAACCAGACAUGGGUCAC